AGUGAACGCUGGCGGUAGGCCUAACACAUGCAAGUCGAACGGCAGCACAGUAAGAGCUUGCUCUUACGGGUGGCGAGUGGCGGACGGGUGAGGAAUACAUCGGAAUCUACUUUUUCGUGGGGGAUAACGUAGGGAAACUUACGCUAAAACCGCAUACGACCUACGGGUGAAAGCAGGGGAUUUUCGGACCUUGCGCGAUUGAAUGAGCCGAUGUCGGAUUAGCUAGUUGGCGGGGUAAAGGCCCACCAAGGCGACGAUCCGUAGCUGGUCUGAGAGGAUGAUCAGCCACACUGGAACUGAGACACGGUCCAGACUCCUACGGGAGGCAGCAGUGGGGAAUAUUGGACAAUGGGCGCAAGCCUGAUCCAGCCAUACCGCGUGGGUGAAGAAGGCCUUCGGGUUGUAAAGCCCUUUUGUUGGGAAAGAAAAGCAGCAGGUUAAUACCCCGCUGUUCUGACGGUACCCAAAGAAUAAGCACCGGCUAACUUCGUG
rnacentral:rRNA from 1 species